rnacentral:rRNA from 1 species
GUCGAACGGCAGCGCGGGGCAACCUGGCGGCGAGUGGCGAACGGGUGAGUAAUAUAUCGGAACGUACCCAAGAGUGGGGGAUAACGUAGCGAAAGUUACGCUAAUACCGCAUACGAUCUAAGGAUGAAAGUGGGGGAUCUUCGGACCUCAUGCUCCUGGAGCGGCCGAUAUCUGAUUAGCUAGUUGGUGAGGUAAAGGCUCACCAAGGCGACGAUCAGUAGCUGGUCUGAGAGGACGACCAGCCACACUGGGACUGAGACACGGCCCAGACUCCUACGGGAGGCAGCAGUGGGGAAUUUUGGACAAUGGGCGCAAGCCUGAUCCAGCAAUGCCGCGUGAGUGAAGAAGGCCUUCGGGUUGUAAAGCUCUUUUGUCAGGGAAGAAACGGCUCAGGCUAAUAUCCUGGGCUAAUGACGGUACCUGAAGAAUAAGCACCGGCUAACUACGUGCCAGCAGCCGCGGU